GGGCCCGUAGCUCAGGUGGAUAGAGCGACAGCCUCCUAAGCUGUAGGCCGCAGGUUCGAGUCCUGCCGGGCUCACCA
rnacentral:tRNA from 2 species